rfam:Xenopus tropicalis strain Nigerian Chr08_contig_1462, whole genome shotgun sequence.
AGCAAUCUUGCUUUAGCAGCACGUAAAUACUGGAGUUCAUGACCAUAUCUGCACUCUCCAGUAUUACUUUGCUGCUAUAUUAAGAUUGCC